UGCAUGCCCUCUUGCCUCUGUGCUGUGGAUCUCUCUCCCGACCCCUAUAAAUAUCUCGUGGUACUCGGGAAGUUCGUCAAGGAAGAACAAGAGAUGCCAGUCUCAUUGUAUAUAAUACUACUAGUUAUAGAGAGUGAGUGACAGCUAGUAGCUAGCAGUUGUUUGAUAUAAUAUGAUAAACAGGCUGCAGGUCAUACAGGCAUCUCAUGCAUGCCAAUAUGUUGCCUUUAUCUGCAUUUGCACCUGCAUCUUUUGCGUUUGUUUUGUUUUUGACUCCACAAACAAAAUCAAGUUCUGUCGAUACAGUAUGUGGGACAAUUAGAUAUAGAGUGUUAGAUAUGGAAACUAAUAAGCUUAGUUGAGGUGCAGGUGCAAGUGCAGGUGAAUGCCAUUUUGGUAAUGUUUUCACUCACAUAUAUAUACAGCAGUGCUGCCUCUUUUCUUUUCAUCUGUCUGUGGUUAAUUUGCAGUUUCAUGGUGGCAGAAAUAUUGUACUGGUAAUCAUCAAGGAGAAAGGGCAAGAAAUUCUUGUGCUUAUUAAUUAACUAUGAGAGCAAAUUAAUGUGUUUUCAACAACGACAGGCCAUGUAUAAAAUUCUUUAUGCAGGUGCUUGGUGUUUAUAGAGGUGAUGAUGAAUUGAAGUGAUUGUGCAGCCACAAUUCAAUGGAUGUGGAAGAAUACUUCAAGGGUUUUCCAGUAAUCUUUGAAUUAAGUACUUGGAGGACAGAUCAUCCAUGAUCAAUAUGCAACAAGGCGCCUGUGCUAGAUAUGUAGAUCUCUUGAUCUUCCAUUAAUUUGAAGCUAGGGUUUUCAAGGCAGUACCAUUGCCAAGUAGGAGGAGCAUCCAUUCUAAGUUCUAAUGUUGACAUUCGUUGUUCUACAUUUAAAAAAUCUCCAUGAUUGGAAGAAAAGUCGAGCACAAAUACUUAUGAUUUUGUUUUGGGUGUGAAAGAA